rnacentral:rRNA from 1 species
GACGAACGCUGGCGGCGUGCUUAACACAUGCAAGUCGAACGCUGAAGCUCAGCUUUUGUUGGGUGGAUGAGUGGCGAACGGGUGAGUAACACGUGAGUAACCUGCCUCGUACUUUGGGAUAACGCCCGGAAACGGGUGCUAAUACUGGAUAUUCACUGGUCUUCGCAUGGGGGUUGGUGGAAAGGGUUUUCUUGGUGGGGGAUGGGCUCGCGGCCUAUAGGCUUGUUGGUGGGGUGAUGGCCUACGAGGGCUUUGACGGGUAGCCGGCGGCAGAGGGUGACCGGUCAGAUUGGGACUGCGAUACGGCCCAGACUGAGACGCGGGGCAGCAGUGGGGAAUAUGGAGCAAUGGGCGAAAGCCUGAUGUGGCGGCGAGGCGGGAGGAGUGGCGGCCCGUGGGUUGUGAACCUCUUUGGCUUAUGGUCAGGCCGCAACAAUGGUUGUGGUGAGGGUAGCGGGUAAAGAAGCGCCGGCUAACUACGUG